UACAGAGGGUGCGAGCGUUAAUCGGAAUUACUGGGCGUAAAGCGCGCGUAGGCGGUUUUGCAAGUCGGGUGUGAAAUCCCCAGGCUUAACCUGGGAACUGCAUUCGAGACUGCAUUACUAGAGUAUGGGAGAGGGAAGUGGAAUUUCCGGUGUAGCGGUGAAAUGCGUAGAUAUCUGGAGGAACACCGGUGGCGAAGGCGGCGAUCCUGGACCGGCAUUGACGGCUGAGGCGCGAAAGCUAGGGGAGCAAACGGG
rnacentral:rRNA from 1 species